rnacentral:rRNA from 1 species
AGUGAACGCUGGCGGUAGGCCUAACACAUGCAAGUCGAAUGGCAGCACAGUAAGAGCUUGCCCUUACGGGUGGCGAGUGGCGGACGAGUGAGGAAUACAUCGGAAUCUACUUUUUCGUGGGGGAUAACGUAGGGAAACUUACGCUAAUACCGCAUACGACCUACGGGUGAAAGCAGGGGAUCUUCGGACCUUGCGCGAUUGAAUGAGCCGAUGUCGGAUUAGCUAGUUGGCGGGGUAAAGGCCCACCAAGGCGACGAUCCGUAGCUGGUCUGAGAGGACGAUCAGCCACACUGGAACUGAGACACGGUCCAGACUCCUACGGGAGGCAGCAGUGGGGAAUAUUGGACAAUGGGCGCAAGCCUGAUCCAGCCAUACCGCGUGGGUGAAGAAGGCCUUCGGGUUGUAAAGCCCUUUUGUUGGGAAAGAAAAGCAGCAGGUUAAUACCCCGCUGUUCUGACGGUACCCAAAGAAUAAGCACCGGCUAACUUCGUG